rnacentral:rRNA from 1 species
UACGGAAGGGGCAAGCGUUGUUCGGAUUCAUUGGGCGUAAAGGGUGCGUAGGUGGCGUGGUAAGUCGGAUGUGAAAUCCCGGGGCUCAACCCCGGAACUGCAUUCGAUACUGCCUUGCUAGAGUACUGGAGAGGAGAUUGGAAUUUACGGUGUAGCAGUGAAAUGCGUAGAUAUCGUAAGGAAGACCAGUGGCGAAGGCGGAUCUCUGGACAGUUACUGACACUGAGGCACGAAGGCCAGGGGAGCAAACGGG